GGUAAAGACUCAAGCAUUUGAAGAUCAAUGAAGCAAAGAAAUGUACUCAAGAAACCAUGUGGCCAAAGAAGCUUCCCUCUUAUGGAGCACAUAUACUUAAGCUAAAAUCCUUUUCCAGGAGACAAUAUCCUGACAGUGGAGCAAUUCAGAUCAUUGUUU